rnacentral:rRNA from 1 species
UACGUAGGGUGCGAGCGUUAAUCGGAAUUACUGGGCGUAAAGCGUGCGCAGGCGGUUCGUUGCGUCUGAUGUGAAAGCCCCGGGCUCAACCUGGGAAUGGCAUUGGAAACUGGCGAGCUAGAGUGUGGCAGAGGGGGGUGGAAUUCCGCGUGUAGCAGUGAAAUGCGUAGAGAUGCGGAGGAACACCGAUGGCGAAGGCAGCCCCCUGGGCUGACACUGACGCUCAGGCACGAAAGCGUGGGGAGCAAACAGG